rnacentral:rRNA from 1 species
GAUGAACGCUGGCGGCGUGCCUAAUACAUACAAGUAGAACGCUGAAGCUUGGUGCUUGCACCGAGCGGAUGAGUUGCGAACGGGUGAGUAACGCGUAGGUAACCUGCCUCUUAGCGGGGGAUAACUAUUGGAAACGAUAGCUAAUACCGCAUAAAAGUCGACAUCGCAUGAUGUUGACUUGAAAGGUGCAAUUGCAUCACUAAGAGAUGGACCUGCGUUGUAUUAGCUAGUUGGUGAGGUAACGGCUCACCAAGGCGACGAUACAUAGCCGACCUGAGAGGGUGAUCGGCCACACUGGGACUGAGACACGGCCCAGACUCCUACGGGAGGCAGCAGUAGGGAAUCUUCGGCAAUGGGGGCAACCCUGACCGAGCAACGCCGCGUGAGUGAAGAAGGUUUUCGGAUCGUAAAGCUCUGUUGUAAGAGAAGAACGAGUGUGAGAGUGGAAAGUUCACACUGUGACGGUAACUUACCAGAAAGGGACGGCUAACUACGUGCCAGCAGCCGCGGUAAUACGUAGGUCCCGAGCGUUAUCCGGAUUUAUUGGGCGUAAAGCGAGCGCAGGCGGUUAGAUAAGUCUGAAGUUAAAGGCUGUGGCUUAACCAUAGUACGCUUUGGAAACUGUUUAACUUGAGUGCAGAAGGGGAGAGUGGAAUUCCAUGUGUAGCGGUGAAAUGCGUAGGUAUAUGGAGGAACACCGGUGGCGAAAGCGGCUCUCUGGUCUGUAACUGACGCUGAGGCUCGAAAGCGUGGGGAGCAAACAGG